CUCACGAAAAUGAAUUGCGUUAAAGCGACUCUACACAAGAAGUCGAGUUGUCAGAAGUCUUUUUUUCUGCAACUGAUUUGCACAUAUUACCAAGGAAACUAUCUAUCACAUAGCCUUAAAAUUAUGUCUUGCUGUAUUCGCUACGGGGCGUUAGGCUCAAAACAAUUUCUCUUAUACAUCUCACACGCAAUAAAUAUAUUUCUCCACUCUUUAUAUUCUUGAGUGGUAAUUUCACAAAGUUUGGUGAAUUAAUUCAAUUUGUCAUAACUUGUCGCUUGCUGAGAAUUUUGCUGGUUAAAUAAGAGCUUUGAAAUGUUUUUAUCAAUCUGAAUUUCGAUUUUAAUGGAGGUUUUAUAAUGUUUUAGAAAGCAAUUUUAAAAUGGUCUAGAAAUGGGAAUAUAAUUAUGGACUUUUACGAUCUCGAAAGGACGAAGAAUAAUGUUUGAUCUGAUUUUAAUAAGCAUCGGACUAUUAUACUCUCUUUGGCCAUUAAAUAGCAAAGUUAUACUACCAUUUCUGGGGCUGGUAAACAGGAGCAGUGGCGGAUCUAGGAACAUGCGAGAAUUUGUCAAAACACAUUACUUUAUCACUGACAGCGCCAUUUUCUCUCAUUUAA